UUUGCCGAUCCAUGGGUCAGAUAGGAACAGGACAGUUCGAAACCCUCGCCUCGCCCCUGCUCCACUCGUCUUCUGGUGCCCCGGCCGCCUAUCACCACCCCAACAUCCCGGCAGACGGCCCUCCCGUCCCCAACCCCGUUGGUGACGACCGGUCAGGAUAUUGAUUUUGGCGACGAGGAUUUUGGCGACGGCUGCCACUGGCUGAGAGGAAUGGAAGAGGCAGGUAUUGAGUUUCUCCUGGAUGCAGUUGACAGGUUAGUGACCUCGGAUCCGCAAGAAAGUUUUGAGCAACUAGCUUGUGUGAGCACUGACGGGCAAAAAGUGGCCGCCACCACUGUCAUCUACUCCGUAUUUAUUAGGUUCCCACUUCUUGAGGAGUUCGCUAAAAGCAGGGACCACCCAGAUCCGCUUCCUCUGGUUGUGGUGGUGAACAGCGGAGCAGGGGUUGCUGUCCCUGCAUAUUCCGUUGCUGAUUCUGAUUAUGGGUAGCAGAUUGGAUACGAGGGCAGCAAUCCUAUGCUUGCUGGGGUUCGACGACAACCGGAUUCAUCCCCAACGAGGUCAGCAUAGUCUACUAACAGAGUCAAUCCCCAGGCCUCUGGCUGGAUAAAAAGUACGGAUUCUUUGGUGAUUUCAUUACAUUCAACACGACUUACGGGAUAAACCUAUACGACAUGCCUUUUGGUUUGUUCGUCGGUGUUAACAAUAAUUUUCAAAGCAUUAUACUUGCUAGUGUGUUGAUGAGGGACGAACUAGAGGAUGAUGGGAGGGCUAGCUUCGAAGAUAUUUCUUAUAGACCAGAACAGAGCCAUGGAAGUGACAAUCAAGAAGGUGUACCCAGGGUCAGGGACUACACAGGUCGUGCAAAUGGCAAAUCUUAAAGAAAGCAAAGGAGACAUUAGGACUGAUGUAUACAAAGAAUUCUGAUUUCCAGGUUGAAUUCCACAAGGUUGUGAACCACAUGUUAACAGAAGAUGAGUUUGAGGCGGCGUGGAAUACGCUGUUAGAUAAAUACAAUUUGAGUAAGCACACCUACAUGACACAGCUGUAUGAAAUCAAAGAAAAAUGGGCAAAACCUUACUUCAAAGGAGAACAAAUUUGGCGACAGAGCAACAUGCCAGUAAGAUAUACACCAGGGCAAUGUUUAAGUAGUUCGGACGUCUGCUGAUUGAAGCGACUACUUAUAAAAUGUCACAGAGAUAGAGAGGAUGAGGAGGUAUGUUACAGUUCACAACAUUGUAGGAAAAGAGAGAAAUGGAGCAGGGUUGAGUAUGAAGUGACCAUAAAUGAGGACCAAAACAAGUUUUCAUGUGAGUGUGGCCAGUUCGAGCACACUCGUAUGCUGUGCAGCCAUGUUCUGAGGGUCAUGGAAAUACUUCAUCUCGAGGAGAUACGUGCAAAGCAUAUAUUGAAACGGUGAACAAAGGACGCGAGGGACAUGCUGCCCCAACAUCUAGUUCAGUACCAGAGGGACAACUCAGUUAACCUGUCGUUUACUUGUAGGCACUCGGCGCUUUACCCGAAAGCCAUGGAGGUGGUAAGGAUGCGUGAUGCGAGUGCAGCAGCUUUCGAUGAUGUGUUCGCCGGUCUGGACGCUCUACUGUUGAGUGGCGCACCUUUCGCAGAAAAGCGGGAUGGUUACGGUUUUGAGGACCACAUGGCUGGCUUAACUCCUGGUACAUUACCAGGCAAUGGAGAGAUCGCAUAUGUUGGGGACAAGGGUGCUGAUAGAUGCAUCAGUACUGGAAACUCUAUUAGGGCGAAUGGUUUGCAUUGUCUAAUAGUACCAGAGAAGCAGAGGGGGUUGGAAGACCUAUAAACAGCAGAGAGAAGGCACCGUACAAGGGGCUCAGUAAGCGCACAAGAUUCUGCAACAUUUGCCGGCGCGGGAGUCACAACAGACUACAUACCCCGAAAGAGGGGAUGCCCCGAAGAAACCACGGAAGCCCGAGAGAUGCAGGAAUUGUCGAAUGGAAGGGACCGGCGGACAACGCGCACAAGAUCUUUGGAUGCUGCUGAAAAUGAAGUCUGAACUUUAUGUGCGUAAAUUAUAUUAUUGUUGUUCCGAGGAUUUUUCUAGUGUGUUUCUGUGAGCAUUGCUCCAUGCUUGUUCCUCAAUUUCGAGACGGAGUGGUAAUUGCUGUAGCUAAGAACAAAACUUUGUAUCAUGGUAAUUUGUAAUAUGAUGGUUGGCUUUUUUUUUGAAAA